GACGGAGGGUGCAAGCGUUGUUCGGAUUGACUGGGCGUAAAGGGCGUGUAGGCGGUUGCCCAAGUCCGAUGUGAAAGCCCGAGGCUCAGCCUCGGAAGUGCAUCGGAAACUAGGCAGCUGGAGCGCGAUAGAGGAGGGUAGAAUUCCUGGUGUAGCGGUGAAAUGCGUAGAUAUCAGGAGGAAUACCGGCGGCGAAGGCGGCCCUCUGGAUCGUUGCUGACGCUGAGACGCGAAAGCGUGGGGAGCAAACAGG
rnacentral:rRNA from 1 species